rnacentral:rRNA from 1 species
CACCGCGGUUAUACGAGAGGCCCAAGUUGACAAACACCGGCGUAAAGCGUGGUUAAGUUAAAAAUCAUACUAAAGCCAAACAUCUUCAAGACUGUUAUACGUAACCGAAGACAGGAAGUCCAACCACGAAAGUCGCUUUAUCUGAUCUGAAUCCACGAAAGCUAAGGAACAAACUGGGAUUAGAUACCCCACUAUGCCUAGCCCUAAACAUUGAUAGUACUCUACACCCACUAUCCGCCCGGGUACUACGAGCAAUAGCUUAAAACCCAAAGGACUUGGCGGUGCUUUAGACCCACCUAGAGGAGCCUGUUCUAGAACCGAUAACCCCCGUUCAACCUCACCCUUUCUUGUUUUACCCGCCUAUAUACCGCCGUCGUCAGCUUACCCUGUGAGGGACUAGUAGUAAGCAGAACUGGUACAGCCUAAAACGUCAGGUCGAGGUGUAGCGUAUGGAAGGGGAAGAAAUGGGCUACAUUCGCUACCGCAGCGAACACGAAUGAUGCACUGAAACACACAUCUGAAGGAGGAUUUAGCAGUAAGCUGGAAAUAGAGCGUCCCGCUGAAACUGGCCCUGAAGCGCGCACACACCGCCCGUCACUCUCCCCAAGAACUCAAGCCAGUUAACUAAAACGUAAUAAUUAAAAAGGGGAGGCAAGUCGUAACAUGGUAAGUGUACCGGAAGGUGCACUUGGUAAAAUCAGAGCGUAGCUAAG